AUUUCUCUUUUCUCACUCUCUCGGCACUCUCUCUCUCCUCCUCUACUCCGAAAAACUUCCUCCUCUCUUCUCUCUUCGAUUUCAUCUACCUAGGGGGUGAUUCCGGACAAGGCCCGAGAAUUAAAGUUGUUAUACGGCGCAUGGGCUUUCCGAAUAUCCAAAAAAAAUCAUGAUCGGACCGCGUGGGAGUUUGGUUGACUUGGUCAAAGGUUCGGGUUUUGCUCAAAACCCAUGAGGUGCAAAAACAAGAAAGUUGGCAUGGCGUGCAUAUCGUGCUUGUUGAUCAUGACUUUCAAAGGUAUAAAAGAGGCGAUUACUUGCAUUUGAUUUGAAAGAAGUAUUUUGGAAAGGCAUUUGUUACAACCGUAAGAUUAUUUUCUUCGGUCAUUGGCAUUUCGAUAAUUUGGGGCAAAUGAGCCAAAAAUGUAAUAUCUGAAUCUUAUUUGUGAACAGUAGAAAGGAAGAUCUUUUGGGUAUUAAUUGUAUUAUUGCGAUGACUUUAUUUAUCAAAAGAGUAUUUUUUAUUUAUGUUGAAAAUCAAGGGCGUGACAACUUGGUAUCAGAGCGUCUAGGUUUGAAUACUUUGAGACCGUGGGGAGAUUUUUAAUCUCAUGGGUUCAAAAGUCAUUGCAUAUUUUAACAAAAACAUGUGUGUGCUUGCAUGACCGACUUUUGUUCACCGGUGUGGCUUUGCAUUUACGUUUACUCUGUUAAGUGGAAUACUGGUGACCCUUGUUUGGGAAGAAUGGAAGUUUGGUCUGUGCGUAGGGGGUGUGGCAGCAUUUGUUGUCAUUGUUGUGGUUUCCGUUAGCAGUCUUGUUACUGGAUUCUACGUGGUAAGAUACCUUUUAGAUGAGCUGAAAAGUCGUGAAGGAUUGUGGUCGCUAUGCGUAGUGGCGAGGUCGAUAUGUGAGAGAUGAUAUCGGUUAGUAUGUAAUAGAAGUGUUUGACUGUUAGUAAGAUUUGUGAACUAAGUACUUGAUGUGUUUUAUUUGGAUUGUGCAGAUUACUUGUUAAAUUUUAAACACUUUAAGUAAUUUUUUAUGUGAAGUGAGGUGUAUCAUAGCUAGAGGAUUGAACUAGUGAGUGACUUGAAUGUGUUUGAAGGGAUGAUAUUUUGUUGCGGUAGUGAUUGUGGUUUGUUAUUGUUAUGGUAGUUAUAGGGGUAGUGAUUUAGAGUAUUGGUAAGGCGGGUGGAACACUUGUGGAGAGUUAUAAGUAUCUGAGGUUGACUUAGGAAGAUGAGGGUUAUAGGUAGGGUGUCUAGAUACAGUAUGUGUCUCCUGGACACCCAGGCGACUACCGAAUAGAUCCAGUUGGAAGAUGCGCUUGAUCACCGCUCCUUCUAGAUGGAACUCUCGGGAAGUCAAUUGGACACUCGGUUUAUACUUAGGGGUAAGAUCUCUAGGUUUGAGACAGAUGUCUAUAUAUAGAAAUUUUGUAGAAAAUGAUGUGCUAUGGUGUUGUUGUAGUCAUUGUAGGGAUUGCCGUAGUGGUGAUGUUAUGAGGAAUCGGUAGGAGAAUAUUAGUUGUGUUAUUCGGAGAGAGGGAAAGUAAAACGAUAGUGAUGUAACUUAAGUCAAAUGGUCAAUAUAUGCAAGGUAAGGAAAUUGUUUGAAGUAAGGGCGAUAUGAGGUUGAACUAUUAAGGGUGAUAAUGAAGUGGAGUGUAGUUGGUGCCUUUAGUGGGAAUGGUGCGAAAUUAGUGGUGAGCGUGACUGCUAGAAUAAGAUUGAUUCUUAAGUGAUGAGAUGUUGAUAGGUUGCAAUAUUGUUAAAAUAGAAGAAUGAUUUGUAUUGAUGAUACGUGCAUUUAUGAUAUGACGUUUAGGAUUGUAAAUGUGAGAAGUACGUGAUUUGAUUUGACAGAAUGAAUGAGAAAGCUCGAGAUUGGUAAAGUAAAUAGACACGGUAUAAGGUUUUGUGAAAGUAAAAGGAAUAAGAUGACUGUUGGGCUUCCUGAAGCCAUGAAUUAUAAAGUAGUGGAUACUUGGUGAGUCCGUUGGACACUCGGGGAGUUCGUUGAAUACCUUUUGAAUCCGUUGGAUAUUGAGUGAGUGUUAAUGCGUGAAUAUGUGGUUGGUGUUGUGUAAGACAUUAAAUUGUACGGUUGAUUUUCAGGAGAUAUUCAUGUAUGAAAUGUGUUGGUAUUUCAUUUAAGUGCUUGAUCUGUUGUGUAAUCUGAAUGUGUGAAAUUUGCCCUUAAGAUGCAGUCCAGAAUUGGUAAAAAGAGUUAUGGGGAUACAAAGAGGUGUGAGUUAGAGAUUGUGGUUAGCGGUUUUGAUUUAUGUGUAUUGAGUAUCUAUGUAUGAAAUUAUUGGUGUUCGGUUAAUGGAAGUGUCCUAUUGAUACAUCUGAAGAUCGGGUUGAAGUCAAAACUUAUUUUUCUUUUUUUUUUUUCCGAAUGAGAGUGAUGUUGUAUGAAAGUUGAUUUUUAGUUUAGUUCAUUUUGGAAAAUAAUACCGAUACAAGUUUGGAGUCGGCUAUGUCAUGCAGAUGUGAACCUUAUCUUAAAUUCGUUACUAUGUUGUCUAAAUUGUCGUUACCCUUAAAGACUAGGUGAGGUGCAUAAGAUUGAUUGGUGAUAAUAUCAAAAAAAAAAAAAAUUGUAAAUGAACUUUUCCUGUUAAAUUCUAUAAAAUUUUGCCACAAGGUGGACGUGUUUCGAUGAUUUUUCAAGUACGGAAACUAAAAUUUUCAAUGGAUCAAGUUUUCCGUCAAAAUUGCUUGGAGGUGUGUGAUAUUGCACUUUUACUAUGAGAAUGGUGAGUGGGAAACUCAUUAUUGUUGUUUAAUUCUAAAUCUCAUUGUGUCGGACACGUAGACUUUGAGCUAACGUAUGCCUUUAAAGGGAACUUGUCUUGAGUUAGCGUUGAGGCUCAUUAGAGCUUUGCUUAUGUGAGUCUUGAGAGCGAGAGUAAGUUGAAUAAAAAGAAAGGAAGUGAAAUAGAAACGUAUGAGAGUUGACCACUUUAUUAGCGUACAUAAAGAGUCUUAUAAACCUCAAGGGAGAGAAGGGAAAAUCUUAAACUUGUUAAUUGUAUAUGGCUUGGCAAGUUGUUGAGUUACGAUGUCAUGAAGUUCUCCUUUGUGUUUGAAUACUAUCCUUAGAACCGGAACUGAUUAAUCGGAAAGAGUGAAAAUGGAUACGGUUUGGGAGACCAAAACUGAUUGCUAACACGAGUAAGAUUCAAACGAACACGGCAGCUCCUUCAUCGAUGUGUGUGAACCUUAGGAUCUGACGAUCGCUUUGGUAAGAGGUGAUACAAAUUGAUUGUGGCAUUGUAGAGUUCAUUGCGUCUUGGACACGAGAGUAGAUGGGUACGAAACAUCAUGAGUGGACACGGUCUUGUGGAUUAGAGUUUUUCUUUGAUGAUGUGUUUUCAUAGGUUUGAUUUAAAUUUCGAGGACGAAAUUUCUUUAAGGAGGGUAGGAUGUAGAGACCCGUAUUAUUAUUAUUAUUAUUAUUUUUUUUUUAGGCUAUAUUUUUUUUUUGUUUUGUUAAUGUAUAGCCCGUCGAGAUAAACAGUGCAGAUAUUCGGUGUGACGUGUUCGUGGGAGGAUAUAAGGGUAAUUGUGUGAAGGGUGCACGUGUGAGUGUAGUGCGAGAAGCGGGGGAUUGCUCCCCACUUCUACAAUUUCCCCAGGAGACUACUUUCUCCCAUUUCUCUUUUCUCACUCUCUCGGCACUCUCUCUCUCCUCCUCUACUCCGAAAAACUUCCUCCUCUCUUCUCUCUUCGAUUUCAUCUACCUAGGGGGUGAUUCCGGACAAGGCCCGAGAAUUAAAGUUGUUAUACGGCGCAUGGGCUUUCCGAAUAUCCAAAAAAAAUCAUGAUCGGACCGCGUGGGAGCUUGGUUGACUUGGUCAAAGGUUCGGGUUUUGCUCAAAACCCAUGAGGUAGGGAUCUCUUACUCUUGUUAUGCGUUUAUACGGCGUUUAUGUACCUAGAUCGUGCUUUGUUUCGUUGUUUGAGGUUGUUUGUUCCAUUUCCGAAAUUCUGCAGAAACAGGGUCUUUGUUUUUGGGGUUUUACGCCUUCUUAAACUCAUGAUUGAAUUUUGGUUCCUUCGUAUGAAAUAGAGUAGACUUAGAGCCCGUUCUAGUGCCGCUGGAAUCACUCGAAACCGUUGAGAAUUGAAUUUACGGUGAUAUCUAAAAUACUGGUCUGCAAUCUGUCUCGUUUUCUGGGUUUCAGCCCACUUCGAACGGCCAUAACUUCCUCGUCCGAUGUCCGUUUUAUGCAAACUUUAUAUCGGUUCGAAGAUCUUGAAGUCAGCUUUCAUUUGCCACUGGAAUCAUCUUAAAACUCUUAGUACACAAAAAGUUAUGAUCGAUUGAGUGGAGGUAUGUCAAUCUGUCAGGCAGAUUCGUGUAGCCUCGGUAAACCCCUGUUUAACCACCCUUGGAGUGCAGAUUUGACUAGGGUUCCUUUGCGUCUUUCAUAGUUCAUUCAAUCGCCCAACUAUUGGGACUGGAAUCACUCAAAAAUAUUAAGAACUCGAUUUAUAGUGAUUUUUAGAAGAUUGCCCUGUAAUCCGAAAAUCUGGGCAGCUCACUGUGCAGCGUUUUUCAUUGUUUGGCUAUGGUUAAACGACCCUAUUGGUUAUGGGUCCUUAUAGGUUUUAAAGAUGGGUAAGUUGGUGAUGUUUCGGUGUUGGAAUCAUUGAAAAAUAUUGAGUAUGCUAUUUUUAAUAAAUUUUUGAACAUGGACUACUCUGCUGAAAAUCAGAAUAUCUGAAAGAUCGUAUCGUACGACUCGUCGAACGUGUCUGUGCCAUUGAUUUUUCGUUAGCAUAGUUGGAGUAUCGUCAUAAAGGCUAUAGUAGCGUAAAAGAGUCCGUGAGCAUCGUAGACUAUAAGAAAUAUCGUGACGUGCGUAAUUAGUAGAGAAGUACUUGUUUGAUUAAAUGGAGAAAUGACUGGAUGGUUUGAUGCUUGUAACUUGGAAAUACGAAUUGAAUGUGAAUAACAAUCGGACACAACGAGAACAUUCGGGGCCCAUCGACGGGUGGGUGCCUGGCAGGGGAUAUCAGGGUCCCAUAAUUAGCCUGGCAGGAGCUAAAAGCUCAUAUUUAACACUCAAGGUCCAACCUUCUAGGUGGACGCUUGGCAGGGGAUAUCAGGGUCCCAUAAUUAGCCUGGCAGGAGCUAAAUGCUCAUAUCAUUUGCUUUCAGGGCUCGUUAUCGAGUAAGUGCCUGGCAGGAGCUUAGGCUCAGACACAUGACACAAAAUUGGUUUAUAAAGUUGAUGAAAGAGAUUCUGAUGACUGAUGAUAAUGAGAAAUGGGAUUUGGUGAUGAAAUGUGAUAUGUGAAAAAUUGUGAAAUUGUACGAGAUGUAAUGAACGGUACUAAAGCUGUUGUUUAUUUACUUAGAAUGAUGUAGGAAUAUUAUUGGUACUUGUUUGACAUAUGAGUAGAUAGAUCCUUCAUAUAGGUCGCCUAGAAUCCCUGAUCAUAGUGUGCUGCUGUUGACAGUCUUGUGUACUUGGGCUUAUCUGUCGUUACUCUCUCACUCUAGAUGCAUAACUCAUCAUAUUUUCCUAUAACUUGCGUAUAGAUUUCUCUACUGGGCGCGUGUAUGCUCAACCCUAUCAUUUUCAGGUGCAAAAACAAGAAAGUUGGCAUGGCGUGCAUAUCGUGCUUGUUGAUCAUGACUUUCAAAGGUAUAAAAGAGGCGAUUACUUGCAUUUGAUUUGAAAGAAGUAUUUUGGAAAGGCAUUUGUUACAACCGUAAGAUUAUUUUCUUCGGUCAUUGGCAUUUCGAUAAUUUGGGGCAAAUGAGCCAAAAAUGUAAUAUCUGAAUCUUAUUUGUGAACAGUAGAAAGGAAGAUCUUUUGGGUAUUAAUUGUAUUAUUGCGAUGACUUUAUUUAUCAAAAGAGUAUUUUUUAUUUAUGUUGAAAA